GAAUAAAGUGUAAUAACAACACAUUUCACGCGUAACUGAAGAAGCCAGAGCAGUGGUGCUGCACGGGGCCAGCAGGUGACUACAGACCAGGCAGCUGCAUUUUAAAUGCUCACACAGGGACGGAAGACCAGGCCCAAGGUGAGGGCUGGAAAAAAUACGUAGGCGAGCCAAGUUCCUCACAGUAAAAAAAAACUGUUGAAACUUAACACAAACAUGCAAUGUGGCAUGAGUCAGCAAGUGCAGCCAGCACAGUAGAAUUGAACCAGGAGAAACUGGAAAUCGCUGUGGGAGGCCACCGCAUCACUCCCUGACCCUGACCCCUCCCUGUCACACACAGACUCCCUGAAGUCCACCCCGGGAGCAGAGCCACAAUCAGAUGGGGCUCUCGGCUGAUAGGGACCUAGCAGAGGCUCCCCUGACGCUCGGCUCCAGAGAGCGUGGCCUGUCCCAUUUGCUGUUGUGGAAUUAAUGUCGGGACGGGCUACAGUCUAACACACCAAACCAACCGGGGACAAAGACGAGAAGAACAGGGGAGAGCUCCGUGAACUUGAUGGGG